AGAAAGUGAGGCCAACCUUCAUGAUUGGCCUGUGGCUUAGUGAAGGCUUCCCCUGGGCAAAAGAUUCUUGAGUAGUAGAGACAUGGAGCAACGCUUGGCAGCACCUGGAUACUGACUGAAUCCUCUACAGCAACAGAGAACUUUGGAAAGGAGGCUAGAUUCUCUUUUGCGAGUCCCCAUAGUGAAAGCAGUGCUUAAUAAAUGCUAUUGCGUGACUGCCGCUUUGGACUGGGGAAGGAGGGAGGGUAGGGCUGAAGCGGAAGGAGAGGGAUGAUUCAGAGAGAAUUUACAGAUGUUUCAACUCUCCUACAAAAAGCAAAUAGGCCAAAUAAAUCUAUGUGGCAUAAAAUGAAAUAAAAAUAAAAUUGUUCCUUCUAAAAGCCACUAUAUUCUGUUCCCAGCGGUAAAAGUUACAACUAGAACUACAAGCAAAAUGGGCUCAUAUUAAUGAAAAUAUGUAACUGUAUCACCACAACCAAAGCUCUGAACACUCAAAGAUAUUUAGUGGAAAGAAAUCCUCAAGAGACAUUUACUAGUGUUUGAAGUAAAAGCAAAGCCUUAAAGCAAUAAAAACACUUUCCAAAUGAA